AGUGAACGCUGGCGGCGUGCCUAAUACAUGCAAGUCGAACGGAGUGGCGCACGGGUGAGUAAUAUAUAGCUAAUCUGCCCCUUGCUGGAGGACAACAGUUAGAAAUGACUGCUAAUACUCCAUAGCAAGGGAUGAGACUAUAUCGUAUCAGCUAGUCGGUGGGGUAAUGGCCUACCGAGGCUAUGACGCGUAACUGGUCUGAGCGGAUGAUCAGGCACAUUGGAACUGAGACACGGUAGAGACUCCAACGGGAGGCAGCAGUAGGGAAUGUUGCGCAAUGGGGGAAACCCUGAGGCAGCAACGCCGCGUGGAGGAUGACACUUUUCGGAGCGUAAACUCCUUUUGUAAGGGAAGCGGUAACUAACAAAGAAGCACCGGCUAACUCCGUGCCAGCCGCCGCGGUAAUUC
rnacentral:rRNA from 1 species